CGCAAUUCCAUAGAUGUGGUUUGGCUUCAACGUGCAGGAGGAGGCAGCUAUACCAAAACUAGAAGCCUAUCUUGGUUAUAAGAGCAAAUCUAUCUCAAUUUACAGGACAACAGACCAAAACUAGCCAAGUACAGCAAAGCAGCUGUUGGCUGGAUUCCUGUUUUCUCAUCUAUCGGCAAAAUCUUGUCUCCACUAUCAAAUCUUCUUUCAGUUAUCUCAUCUGGAUUCCAGUUGCUGCCAAUCAUUCGAAAGCAUUGACUAAGAGAAUGCAUCGACAAUCAAGCCUUGCAGCGGUGGCUAAAAAGGGGGUAACAACUCAGACGCCAUUGGCUGAUCAUUUGCUGCACCUUUGGUGGUUUUCAUUGAAUCACUAGCAUCAGCUGCUGCUUUGCCCUUUUUUCUUGCAUAGACCGCUGGCGAUGUUCAUAAAAGGCAAAAUUAUCAAGAACAGAUGUGUUGUUUAUAUGCUCCUUGAAAAUCUUGAGCAUCUGGAGGCCCUUCUCUAACUCCACCUGCGUGAUAUGAUUAGCAAAAAUCAAUUGUAUUUUAUGUGCUGAUACAUGUCAUAAUCUGACAUACCUCCUGAGUUUCUCGACUGUUGGUAACAGGUUUGUUCUCGUUGUUCUCUAGCGUGAUAUACUUCAGAAUGCUAUUUGGGGCAUCCUUAAUAAUAUGCCACUUGACUGGGAAGCAGCCAAUCCACUUAUUUUGCUGCCAAAAGUCCGCAGUCUUGUUGAAAUUUACACGACCAACCAUCUCUGCGAUACCGAUAAAUUGUUAC